AUUGAACGCUGGCGGCAUGCCUUACACAUGCAAGUCGAACGGUAACGCGGGGCAACCUGGCGACGAGUGGCGAACGGGUGAGUAAUACAUCGGAACGUGCCCAGUAGUGGGGGAUAGCCCGGCGAAAGCCGGAUUAAUACCGCAUACGACCUACGGGUGAAAGCGGGGGAUCGCAAGACCUCGCGCUAUUGGAGCGGCCGAUGUCAGAUUAGGUAGUUGGUGGGGUAAAGGCCUACCAAGCCUACGAUCUGUAGCUGGUCUGAAAGGGCGACCAGCCACACUGGGACUGAGACACGGCCCAGACUCCUACGGGAGGCAGCAGUGGGGAAUUUUGGACAAUGGGCGCAAGCCUGAUCCAGCCAUGCCGCGUGCGGGAAGAAGGCCUUCGGGUUGUAAACCGCUUUUGUCAGGGAAGAAACGCUCUGGAUUAAUACCUCGGGGUAAUGACGGUACCUGAAGAAUAAGCACCGGCUAACUACGUGCCAGCCGCCGCGGUAAUAC
rnacentral:rRNA from 1 species